CUACUUUCUAUGAUGUAAUCUGAGAAGUUGAGCUCCGAGAGAGGGUCCGAUUGGCCAAAUCGAUAAUUCCCUCCCAGGGACUCCACCCUUCCUCCUCCCUCCUCCCUUACCCAAGGGCUAUAAAAGAGCUGAGCCAGAGACCUGGAUGCUUUCUACACCUGGAUCUGCUGGCGAAGCUUUGAAGAUGAGCGUAUGUGUACUCGGGGAUGGGAGGCAAGGGUGGGGGUGCAGGAAAGAGAGUAAAAAGAGAGACGGGUGGUGAAGGAUUGAAGAGACCAUGGGGGUGGGGGUGCCAAGACAACAAGGGAGGAUCUAGGACGUUGACAGGUACUUGAGACAAGGCGACCUGGGAGAGUGCCUGCUGGGAGUCCUUAGGAGAGGCGAAGCACCUGCUACUACUGUGUAACACACUCCAACAUAGCCCCCGGGACGGGCUCGGCGCUGGGGUAUGGAGGCUAGGAAGUGAGAAGAAACUCGAGGUUGCAGCAGAGAGCUAGCUGACCUUCAGUUAACAGAAGCAAGGGAGACCGCAGUGCCCACCAGACCAUGCACCACAAAAACCAUGGGACAAGGACCAAUGCUAAAGAUCACACCAAGGGAGACGUGAGCAGCACCUGCAUCCAGAGUUUUGGCCAGAUGGAGAGAGAGAUGUUGAUAAGAACACUUGACCUAGAGGAAUGGACAUGAUGACUGAAUUAAGAUCCCAUUUAGAUAAAUCACAAUUUCAAAAUAGAACCUUAUACCUCUCUUUUCAUCAUUGACUGGCUUUGUGACCCUGAGUAAGUAUUGGUUCUUUCCUCUCUCUAAGUAUCAAUUUUCUACUCUAUGAAAUGAGAGCUAGACUCAAUGAUUUCUAAGGGCCCUUCUAACUCUCACAUUCUGCAAUGCUAUUAAUGGU
rnacentral:lncRNA from 1 species